rnacentral:rRNA from 1 species
ACUAGCAGUAAGAGUUUGAUCCUGGCUCAGAACGAACGCUGGCGGCAGGCUUAACACAUGCAAGUCGAGCGCUCUCUUCGGAGGGAGCGGCGGACGGGUGAGUAACGCGUGGGAACGUGCCCCUUGGUGCGGAACAACAGCUGGAAACGGCUGCUAAUACCGCAUGAUGUCUACGGACCAAAGAUUUAUCGCCAAGGGAUCGGCCCGCGUCGGAUUAGGUAGUUGGUGGGGUAACGGCCCACCAAGCCGACGAUCCGUAGCUGGUUUGAGAGGAUGAUCAGCCACACUGGGACUGAGACACGGCCCAGACUCCUACGGGAGGCAGCAGUGGGGAAUCUUGGACAAUGGGGGGCAACCCUGAUCCAGCCAUGCCGCGUGAGCGAUGAAGGCCCUAGGGUUGUAAAGCUCUUUCACCCGCGAAGAUAAUGACGGUAGCGGGAGAAGAAGCCCCGGCUAACUCCGUGCCAGCCGCCGCGGUAAUAC